rnacentral:rRNA from 1 species
UACAGAGGUCCCAAGCGUUGUUCGGAUUCAUUGGGCGUAAAGGGUGCGUAGGCGGCGCGGUAAGUCGGGUGUGAAAUCUCGGGGCUUAACUCCGAAACUGCAUUCGAUACUGCCGUGCUUGAGGACUGGAGAGGAGACUGGAAUUUACGGUGUAGCGGUGAAAUGCGUAGAUAUCGUAAGGAAGACCAGUGGCGAAGGCGGGUCUCUGGACAGUUCCUGAUGCUGAGGCACGAAGGCCAGGGGAGCAAACGGG